rnacentral:sRNA from 4 species
AUUCUGCCCAAGCGGGGAAGGAUGAGAAGCUUCGACUAAGGUUCGACUUGAGCGCCAGCGAGAGAGCGUUGCCGCAGGCAACGACCCGAAGGGCGAAGCGCGCAGCGCUGAGUAAUCCUUCCCCCACCACCA